UACGUAGGGUGCGAGCGUUGUCCGGAAUUAUUGGGCGUAAAGAGCUCGUAGGCGGCUUGUCACGUCGGGUGUGAAAGCCCGGGGCUUAACCCCGGGUCUGCAUUCGAUACGGGCUAGUUAGAGUGUGGUAGGGGAGAUCGGAAUUCCUGGUGUAGCGGUGAAAUGCGCAGAUAUCAGGAGGAACACCGGUGGCGAAGGCGGAUCUCUGGGCCAUUACUGACGCUGAGGAGCGAAAGCGUGGGGAGCGAACAGG
rnacentral:rRNA from 1 species